AUUGAACGCUGGCGGCAGGCCUAACACAUGCAAGUCGAGCGAGCGGCGGACGGGUGAGUAAUGUAUGGGGACUGCCCGAUAGAGGGGGAUAACUACUGGAAACGGUGGCUAAUACAGCAUACUGUCGGAUAACCCAUAUGGGAUUAGCUAGUAGGUAAGGUAAUGGCUUACCUAGGCGACGAUACCUAGCUGGUCUGAGAGGAUGAUCAGCCACUGUGGGAAUAAGACCAUGCCCAGACUCCUCCGGAGGCAGCGGUUGGGAAUAUUGCACAAUGGGCGCAAGCCUGAUGUAGCCAUGACGCGGGUAUUAAGAAGGCCCGAAGGUUUUAAAGUACUUUCAGUCUGAAUGCGUUACCGACAGAAGAAGCCCCGGGGGACUCCGUGCCAGCAGCCGCGGUAAUUG
rnacentral:rRNA from 1 species